rnacentral:rRNA from 1 species
GUGGGGAAUCUUGCACAAUGGGCGAAAGCCUGAUGCAGCAACGCCGCGUGCGGGAAGAAGGCCUUAGGGUUGUAAACCGCUUUCAGCAGGGAAGAAACUGACGGUACCUGUAGAAGAAGGUGCGGCCAACUACGUGCCAGCAGCCGCGGUGACACGUAGGCACCAAGCGUUGUCCGGAUUUAUUGGGCGUAAAGAGCUCGUAGGCGGUUCGGUAAGUCGGGUGUGAAAACUCUGGGCUCAACCCAGAGCCGCCACCUGAUACUGCUGUGACUCGAGUGCGGUAGGGGAGCGGGGAAUUCCUGGUGUAGCGGUGAAAUGCGCAGAUAUCAGGAGGAACACCAGUGGCGAAGGCGCCGCUCUGGGCCGUGACUGACGCUGAGGAGCGAAAGCGUGGGUAGCAAACAGGAUUAGAAACCCCUGUAGUCC